GCGCGCUCCGCGUCGGCUGCGCUCCCGGGACGGACCGGCCGGCGCGGUGGGCGCUGGGCCCGACGCCGACGGGGCCCUGACGGCCCGGCGGACGCGCGGAGCGCAAGGGCGGCGGCAUGCCCGAGCGGCGGCUCACCGCGGAGCCACCAACUCUGACAGAAGCAGACUUUGAAGAUUCUUUGGCAACAGAUAAUUUCCUUGUGGACUACUUUAAUGAAUUCCUAAG